GUCUUUUUGAGUUAUUUUUAAAGUCUGACCUGCCCACUGAAUAUUUUUAAAUGGCCGCAGUAUUCUAACUGUGCAAAGGUAGCAUAAUCAUUAGUCUUUUAAUUGAAGGCUGGUAUGAACGGUUGGACGAAGUAUAAGCUGUUUCAUAUAAAAUUAUAUUAGAAUUUUAUAUUUUAGUUAAAAAGCUAAAAUAUUAUUAAAAGACGAGAAGACCCUAUAAAUCUUUAUAUUUAAUAUUAUUCAAAUUUUUUUGAUUAAUUUUAUUUUUAUAAUACUAAAUAUUUUGUUGGGGUGAUAUUAAAAUUUAAUAAACUUUUAAUUUUGAAUUAGAACAUUAAUUUAUGAAUAGUUGAUCCAUUAUUAAUGAUUAUAAGAUUAAGUUACUUUAGGGAUAACAGCGUAAUUUUUUUUGAGAGUUCAUAUCGACAAAAAAGUUUGCGACCUCGAUGUUGGAUUAAGAUAUAUAUUUAGGUGUAGCCGUUUAAAUAUUAAGUCUGUUCGACUUUUAAAUUCUUACAUGAUCUGAGUUCAAACCGGAGA
rnacentral:rRNA from 1 species